ACACUGAUGCUCCAGCAGUGAGGAAAGGAAGGGUUGGAAGCAGGGAGUAUAAAAGAACUGGGGUGACACUUGGGGGAAGGUAGCAAGUGGAGAUGAGGAAGAGGCAGCAUUUAUGUCAGGGAAAGCAGAGCAAACAGAAGAAAGUACGCUGAGCGAAAGUCACCUUUUGAAAGGAGGGGGUAACAGUCCUAUGGCUUCAAGAAAAGGACUCCAAAAGGACUCAUUAACUUUUGCACUUCCAGUGCAAGCCCUUCUAACAAGGUAGGAAAUUAGUGAAUUACAACCUAAUGUACUUGGGCAUAAUUUGCUUUCAGAACACAAAGAAGUCUCUCUGAACGACAUUUUAAAGGGUAAGGUAUGCAUUUUAAGAGGUGCUUCUGUGUUUUUCUACAUAGGCAAUGACUCCCCGUUUGGCAGCCAACAAGCCCGGUGGCCAAUGGAUGAUAUUCACCAUUAUUUUUACAAGCCUUAAAGAUACCUUGUGUAUGCAUGCUUUAUUACCCUUAGACCCCACUCAACUCUUCCUCUCUGUUAGCUAACAUCCCUGGGAAGAG
rnacentral:lncRNA from 1 species